UACGGAGGGAGCUAGCGUUGUUCGGAAUUACUGGGCGUAAAGCGCACGCAGGCGGCUUUGUAAGUUAGAGGUGAAAGCCUGGAGCUUAACUCCAGAACUGCCUUUAAGACUGCAUCGCUUGAAUCCGGGAGAGGUGAGUGGAAUUCCGAGUGUAGAGGUGAAAUUCGUAGAUAUUCGGAAGAACACCAGUGGCGAAGGCGGCUCACUGGACCGGUAUUGACGCUGAGGUGCGAAAGCGUGGGGAGCAAACAGG
rnacentral:rRNA from 1 species